rnacentral:rRNA from 1 species
UACGGAGGGUGCGAGCGUUGUUCGGAAUCACUGGGCGUAAAGGGUGUGUAGGCGGUCCGCUAAGUCUGAUGUGAAAGCCCGGGGCUCACCCCCCGGAAGGGCAUUGGAAACUGACGGACUCGAGUCCCGAAGAGGAGGGUGGAAUUCCUGGUGUAGCGGUGAAAUGCGUAGAUAUCAGGAGGAACACCGGUGGCGAAGGCGGCCCUCUGGACGGUGACUGACGCUGAGACGCGAAAGCGUGGGGAGCAAACAGG